rnacentral:rRNA from 1 species
AACGAACGCUGGCGGCAUGCCUAACACAUGCAAGUCGAACGAGACCUUCGGGUCUAGUGGCGCACGGGUGCGUAACGCGUGGGAACCUGCCCUUAGGUUCGGAAUAACUCCCCGAAAGGGGUGCUAAUACCGGAUAAUGUCUUCGGACCAAAGAUUUAUCGCCUUUGGAUGGGCCCGCGUUGGAUUAGCUAGUUGGUAGGGUAAAAGCCUACCAAGGCGACGAUCCAUAGCUGGUCUGAGAGGAUGAUCAGCCACACUGGGACUGGGACACGGCCCAGACUCCUACGGGAGGCAGCAGUGGUGAAUAAUGAACGAUGCGCGAAAGCCUGAGCCAGCAAUGCCGCAUGAGUGAUGAAGGCCUUAGGAUUGUAAAGCUCUUUUACCCGGGAUGAUAAUGACAGAACCGGGAGGAUAAGCACCGGCUAACUCCGU